rnacentral:lncRNA from 1 species
UAGACUAUCAAGUAGUUAGGAAAGAAAGUCAGUGAGAUGUCUCAGGCGUGACUCAGCUACGGAAACAAUAGCAAUCAGAGGACAUUUGGAGAUGAAGAAAAAAAAGAAACAAACUUCAAUACAAUGAGAAAUAUACCAGUACAUGUAUGACACUCAAGUAACAUAAUGAUCUUAAGGCUAAUUUACUACCUCCUUGUUGCCUGACAGAGACCUGGAACCAAACCCAGAACUUCACUUCCCUGUGCCAGAAGGAUUCCAGUGAGCUUUUCCCACAGGCCCUACAGUCUUCUCCAGGUGAACCUCGGUCACUAUCUAUAUUUAUUAAUGGUUUCUGUCCUGUAAAUAUCUUCUAUAAUAAAAGAUU